UGAGGAAUAUUGGUCAAUGGGCGCAAGCCUGAACCAGCCAUGCCGCGUGCAGGAUGACGGUCCUAUGGAUUGUAAACUGCUUUUGUACAGGAAGAAACACUCCCUCGUGAGGGAGCUUGACGGUACUGUAAGAAUAAGGAUCGGCUAACUCCGUGCCAGCAGCCGCGGUAAUACGGAGGAUCCAAGCGUUAUCCGGAAUCAUUGGGUUUAAAGGGUCCGUAGGCGGUUUUAUAAGUCAGUGGUGAAAUCUGGUCGCUCAACGAUCAAACGGCCAUUGAUACUGUAGAACUUGAAUUACUUGGAAGUAACUAGAAUAUGUAGUGUAGCGGUGAAAUGCUUAGAGAUUACAUGGAAUACCAAUUGCGAAGGCAGGUUACUACAAGUGGAUUGACGCUGAUGG
rnacentral:rRNA from 1 species